rnacentral:rRNA from 1 species
UGAGUAACACGUGAGUGACCUGCCUUUUAGACUGGAACAACUUACCGAAAGGUGAGCUAAUGCCGGAUGAGUUAUAUAAGUGCAUGUUUAUAUAGGAAAAGUUGGGGAGACCUGACGCUGAAAGAUGGACUCGCGUCCCAUUAGCUAGUUGGUAGGGUAAUGGCCUACCAAGGCGACGAUGGGUAGCCGGCCUGAGAGGGUGGCCGGCUACACUGGGACUGAGACACGGCCCAGACUCCUACGGAAGGCAGCAG